GACGAACGCUGGCGGCGUGCUUAACACAUGCAAGUCGAACGCGCCUGUCCUCUGGGUUUCUGGGGGGUGGGUGAGUGGCGAAUGGGUGAGUAACACGUGAGUAACCUGCCCCCUUCUUCGGGGUAACGGUCUGAAAGGGCUGCUAAUACCGGGUAUUCACUGGUCUCCGCAUGGGGUCUGGUGGAAAGGUUUUUUUCUGGUGGGGGAUGGGCUCGCGGCCUAUCAGCUUGUUGGUGGGGUGAUGGCCCACCAAGGCUUUGACGGGUAGCCGGCCUGAGAGGGUGACCGGUCACAUUGGGACUGAGAUACGGCCCAGACUCCGACGGGAGGCAGCAGUGGGGAAUAUUGCACAAUGGGCGCAAGCCUGAUGCAGCGACGCCGCGUGAGGGAUGGAGGCCUUCGGGUUGUGUACCUCUUUCGCCCGUGGUCAAGCCGCGACGUGGGUCGUGGUGAGGGUAGUGGGUAAAGAAGCGCCGGCUAACUACGUG
rnacentral:rRNA from 1 species